UGAUUUGUUGGAAAAGAGUUUUACGGAUUUUAGAGUUUUAUGGUUUAUUUACUUGCCAUAUUAUGUGACUAACGAAAUAAAUAAUCUAAUCUAUUAGAUAAAUAAGGUGUACAAUAUACAUCUCUUUUAGAGUGUAUGACUAGCACUGAUUGUAAAUUUACAAACCUUCACUCAAGAGCUCGCAAAUCAUUUUCGGUUCUUAAUAUUUAUAUAACAAAAUUGACAGAA
rnacentral:lncRNA from 1 species